rnacentral:rRNA from 1 species
UACGUAGGUGGCGAGCGUUGUCCGGAAUUACUGGGUGUAAAGGGCGUGUAGGCGGGUGGAUAAGUCGGAUGUGAAAUACCAUGGCUCAACUGUGGGGCUGCAUCUGAAACUAUUCAUCUUGAGUUCUGGAGAGGGAAGCGGAAUUCCAAGUGUAGCGGUGAAAUGCGUAGAUAUUUGGAGGAACACCAGUGGCGAAGGCGGCUUUCUGGACAGUAACUGACGCUGAGGCGCGACAGCGUGGGGAGCAAACAGG